rnacentral:rRNA from 1 species
UACGUAGGCAGCGAGCGUUGUUCGGAAUUACUGGGCGUAAAGAGUGUGUAGGCGGUGCUCUAAGUUCGGUGUGAAAUCUCUUGGCUCAACUGGGAGGGUGCGCCGGAAACUGGAGUGCUUGAGCGUGGGAGAGGAAAGCGGAAUUCCUGGUGUAGCGGUGAAAUGCGUAGAUAUCAGGAGGAACACCUGUGGUGUAGACGGCUUUCUGGACCAUAGCUGACGCUGAGACACGAAAAGCGUGGGUAGCAAACAGG